CACGGAGGAUGCAAGCGUUAUCCGGAAUUAUUGGGCGUAAAGCGUCCGCAGGUGGUUUCUCAAGUCUGUGGUCAAAGACAGUGGCUCAACUGCUGAAAGGCCAUGGAAACUGUGAAACUAGAGUUCGGUAGGGGUAGAGGGAAUUCCCAGUGUAGCGGUGAAAUGCGUAGAGAUUGGGAAGAACACCAGUGGCGAAGGCGCUCUACUGGGCCGAAACUGACACUGAGGGCCGAAAGCUAGGGGAGCGAAAGGG
rnacentral:rRNA from 1 species